rnacentral:lncRNA from 1 species
AAUUUCUCUUCAAAGGUUGGGUGCCAAUCACAUUAAUUGUGAAGCCCAAUAACAAUCCUUUGAAAAAGUCACGAAUAAUGCGAGUGGGAUGCAAAUGAAUGGAAUGCAUGUAUGUAAUGUGAGGACAUGAGUUUGAAAAAGUAAUAAAAGACAAUAAAUAUGUAAAUGAAAAUGUGCUCGUGGGUGGGCAAGGUACGGUAUGUGAAAUGAUAAUAUGAAGUGCAUGUGUGCAAGUGAUGAUAAAAGUGUUCGUGUGCAAGUGAAGAAACAUAAAGGUGCACGUGUGCAAAAUAGGAGGAAAAAUGAAAGUGUGAUGAGGGUAUAAAAUGGUGGAGUGGAUUUAAAAAAUGCAUGAGCCUAGAGAAUUCAUGCAUAUUGGGUACGGGGAGACCUAAAUCGUG